GACGAACGCUGGCGGCGUGCUUAACACAUGCAAGUCGAACGGAAAGGCCCUGCUUUUGUGGGGUGCUCGAGUGGCGAACGGGUGAGUAACACGUGAGUAACCUGCCCUUGACUUUGGGAUAACUUCAGGAAACUGGGGCUAAUACCGGAUAGGAGCUCCUGCUGCAUGGUGGGGGUUGGAAAGUUUCGGCGGUUGGGGAGGGACUCGCGGCUUAUCAGCUUGUUGGUGGGGUAGUGGCUUACCAAGGCUUUGACGGGUAGCCGGCCUGAGAGGUUGACCGGCCACAUUGGGACUGAGAUACGGACCAGACUCCUACGGGAGGCAGCAGUGGGGAAUAUUGCACAAUGGGCGGAAGCCUGAUGCAGCAACGCCGCGUGCGGGAUGACGGCCUUCGGGUUGUAAACCGCUUUCGCCUGUGACGAAGCGUGAGUGACGGUAAUGGGUAAAGAAGCACCGGCUAACUACGUG
rnacentral:rRNA from 1 species